rnacentral:rRNA from 1 species
UACGAAGGGGGUUAGCGUUGCUCGGAAUUACUGGGCGUAAAGCGCACGUAGGCGGCUUUCUAAGUCGGGGGUGAAAUCCUGGAGCUCAACUCCAGAACUGCCUUCGAUACUGGAAAGCUCGAGUCCGGGAGAGGUGAGUGGAACUGCGAGUGUAGAGGUGAAAUUCGUAGAUAUUCGCAAGAACACCAGUGGCGAAGGCGGCUCACUGGCCCGGUACUGACGCUGAGGUGCGAAAGCGUGGGGAGCAAACAGG